rnacentral:rRNA from 1 species
UACAGAGGUCCCGAGCGUUGUUCGGAUUCACUGGGCGUAAAGGGUGCGCAGGCGGCCAAGUGUGUGAGGCGUGAAAGCCCGGGGCUUAACCCCGGAAUUGCACCUCAAACUACUUGGCUAGAGCAUUGGAGAGGGUAGCAGAAUUCACGGUGUAGCAGUGAAAUGCGUAGAUAUCGUGAGGAAUACCAGAGGCGAAGGCGGCUACCUGGACAAUUGCUGACGCUCAGGCACGAAAGCGUGGGGAGCAAAAGGG